rnacentral:rRNA from 1 species
UAGGGAAUUUUCGUCAAUGGGCGCAAGCCUGAACGAGCAAUGCCGCGUGAGUGAGGAAGGUCUUCGGAUCGUAAAGCUCUGUUGCGGGGGAAAAAGGGAAGCAGAAAGGAAAUGGUCUGCUUUUGAUGGUACCCCGCCAGAAAGUCACGGCUAACUACGUGCC